rnacentral:rRNA from 1 species
GACGAACGCUGGCGGCGCGCUUGACACAUGCAAGUCGAACGGAAAGGCCUGCUUUCCCUUGUGGAUUGCGGGUACUCGAGUGGCGAACGGGUGAGUAACACGUGAGUGAUCUGCCCCCAACUUGGGUAUAAGCCUGGGAAACUGGGUCUAAUUCCCGAUAGGACUGCAGGGUGGUGCCUGUGGUGGAAAACGAUUUUCUAGUGGUUGGGGAUGAGCUCGCGGCCUAUCAGCUUGUUGGUGGGGUAAUGGCCUACCAAGGCGGCGACGGGUAGCCGGCCUGAGAGGGUGGACGGCCACAUUGGGACUGAGAUACGGCCCAGACUCCUACGGGAGGCAGCAGUGGGGAAUAUUGCACAAUGGGCGGAAGCCUGAUGCAGCGACGCCGCGUGGGGGAUGACGGCCUUCGGGUUGUGAACUCCUUUCGACCGCGAGGAAGCCACCUGGUUGGAAGGGUGGUGACGGUAGUGGUAGAAGAAGCACCGGCUAACUACGUG